GUUUCCCUGCCCUGUUGGUGAUCUUCAGAAUGUUGAGCCAACUCUCACAAAAAGGGUACCUCCUCUGUUUUCAAAAAGAAGAUUGCUCAGCAAUCUUCCGGAUGAGACUAUGAGUUUGCCCACCUAUUUAAUAGGUUUAAUCAUCCUGUAGACACGGCAGGGUGGGGAUUUU
rnacentral:other from 2 species